ACAAAACAGCCAAUUAGACACCUAGGCCUGACGGCGGAGUUGACUGUGAGAAGCUGCAUAAUUAUUGAGUACAAAAUGUGACAAACGGACUAUAUCACAAAAUGCUGCCAUUGUCUUGUCACACCGGGGGUUAGAUUGAAAGGCGAGAAAAGGCUAAAGCCUACCGGUAGCCAUGUGGACAGUGUAGGCGACCCGUGGGUGCAGCUCAGCUUUGAGGCACAAACAAAAGAGCAUCGCUGGAACGUUUUCUUUUCUGAUGACGGUUCACUUUCAAAGGUCGCUAACUCAGUUUGCAACAUUGCUCCUUCAAAAUAUGAUAUACAUCUCGGAAAAAAUAAUAUUGAAUCUGAGAGAGAUAGAAAAUGUCACCCUAUUGGGCAUUCUUUUAGAGUAACCUACAUUUUUGCACAGACAGGAGUGUGGUUAUUGAUUUAGUUCUGGAAAUGUUUAAGUGUAAAUGGAUCAUGUUUUCUUUAUGUGUUCAUUAGAAUCACUCAUACGUAAAACUAUCCUAUACCGGGAACAAUUUCACCCUCUUUUCCUCGAAAAAUAAUCCGAUAAUAUAUGAUAACGUUUAACAGAUUUUAAUCAUGUGCAAUCAAUGUACAUAUGCGAUUGGGGUAGACUGAAAUGAUUUUUUUAAUUACUUGAUUUAAGAAUCCAUGCAUCUUCUCAGAAUAUUUCAGUAGUCCAUAGCGUAAUACAGAGCCCUCACUCAUUCAGUGCACGUGUGUUAAAAAUGUUUGGUGUGUUUACUAAGGGAGUUCAACGCGAGGUCGGUCUGCAACUGAUGGGUGCGCACAUAUACGGACGUCCCUGUUAAGUAUAAAAAGAACACAUUUAAUAUGAACAUCCACGUUAAAUUACUUGCAGGGGGUAGGUUAUCAGUAGACAUUUAGGAAUGUAUGUGAUUCAAUUACAAAUUGCGACAUUUUGUAAAAAUGUGCAACUAAAAACCUUCCUAGGGUAUUUCGGAAUGGCCCAGAGAACUCCGGGUGGGUGGGGGUGAUCAAUCUCUCGCUGACUGCAGAGCCUGACACAGCGCCACUUUUCCUAAAUAACGUGCAAACCUCAAAACACCGCCCCGCCCGCCCCUUUUCCCUACAUUAUAAACGGCCACUGCGAAAAUAUCGUGGAUUUCUUAUUCGAACAUUAUGCACCAGUGUCACGACCCAUCGGAACGGGAGUAGGAUCCAAAUGCAGGACUCGGAAGAUGCAAGUCUGUCCGUCCAGGCUGUGAGCUCCAACAGUGACCGCUAGUGUCAGUUCACGUCAGCCAUACAUUCUCCGCCCGAGCUGUAGUGGGAACUUCCACGGGGUUAGAAGAGUUUUCCUGCUGUGAAGGCAAUACCAACAUUUCCCACACACCACCUGAGGCUUCUGUCAUGAGUGGUGAAACAUCUGCAACAGAGAGGCUAGCUAGCCGCCAUUUCCUCUCUCUCAAUUACACUAUAUUUUAUUUUGUUUGUAACAUAUUUCAAGAAAAAAGUUAUUUGUUCUAAAUGUUAAACAUACAUG